UUGAUCCUGGCUCAGAAUGAACGUUGGCGGCGUGGAUUAGGCAUGCAAGUCGUGCGAGAAGCCCUCUUCGGAGGGUGGACAGCGGCGAAAGGGAGAGUAACGCGUGGAUACCAACCCCCAGGACCGGGAUAGCCGCGGGAAACCGCGGGUAAUACCGGAUAAUGUCUCCGGACCAAAGGUGUGAUUCCGCCUGGGGACGGGUCCGCGUCCUAUUAGCUUGUUGGUGAGGUAACGGCUCACCAAGGCGACGAUGGGUACCGGGUGUGAGAGCAUGGCCCGGCUCACUGGGACUGAGACACUGCCCAGACACCCACGGGUGGCUGCAGUCGAGAAUCUUCGGCAAAUGGACGCAAGUCCGACCGAGCGACGCCGCGUGCGGGAUGAAGGCCUUCGGGUUGUAAACCGCUGUCAGAGGGGAGGAAAUCCUGUGGGGUUCUCUCCACAGGUUGACCUAUCCUCAGAGGAAGUACGGGCUAAGUUCGUGCCAGCAGCCGCGGUAAGACGAACCGUACAAACGUUAUUCGGAAUCACUGGGCUUACAGGGUGCGUAGGCGGCCCUGCAAGUUGGGUGUGAAAGCCCUCGGCUCAACCGAGGAAUUUGCGCCCAAAACUGCGGGGCUUGAGGGAGACAGAGGUGAGCGGAACUUAGGGUGAAGCGGUGAAAUGCGUGGAUAUCCUGAGGAAC
rnacentral:rRNA from 1 species